AUGAAGUUUUUUAUUAUGUUUUUUUUUUCCUGUUCUAAUGAGAUACUCAGGGACACAAGUUAUUCAUCUGUCAAAACACUCGUGCCAUGGCUACAGGCAAUGACUGUAUGGCAGACCCACAGCAACAGCUCUUGGCACAUGCUUGUAGUCAUUCUACCUGUAUUACUGUCUGAUAGCAUGAACAAUAUUAAUUCAGUAUGAGUCUUGUGAAGUUUAUUAAGAGUAGAUUGCUUCUGAAUGUUUCUGAAAAGAAAUGCUGUUGAUUAUCUAUCUAGGAAGUCUUCUGUAAAAAGCAUCUUUGUCCCCUACUGCACCCUCUUCUCAAGUAGCUUGUGCCACCCUGUGCUGAACUCUGCUGCUCUGGGCAGUCUGGUCUAGUAUUAGGUGGGAUGGUUGGUGGCCCUGCGUGUGGCAGGGGGGUUGGAGAUUCAUGAUACUUGAGGUCCCUUCCAACCCUGGCAAUUCUGUGAUUCUGUGAUUCUGUGAAAGUGCACAAUAUCCUCAGCUUCCACUGGAACAAGGGCAACUCUGUUCAAUAUGUAGCAUAUCCUCAGCAUCUCACAGGACGUGGUCUUUAGGCUCCAGCUCACAAACACAUGGGCUUAACUUAAGCAUGUGAGUAGUCCUAUUAAUGUUGAAGUACUUAAAGUUAACCAUGUAUGUAAUUGCUUGCAGGGCUGGUUCCUUAAUUAGCUACACUCAUCCUUUAAUCCUCCCUAUCUUUUAACCUCUGUACUGUUACAUGACUCAAUUUCUUUAAUCAGAUAAUGAACAUUAGAUAAAUUGUUAUUUACUGCUUCUGUUUCAAGACUUGAACUAAAAAAUGAUGGUCUCUGGAUAGGUCCUAAACACAACAAAACAUAAAACACAGUGAGAGAAGUUUGCAAGUUUUGAAGAAUGUCCUAACUUUUUGUUAGAUGGAUGACUUUUCAGACUUCCUGAAAUCAUGCAUGGAUUUCCUGACGGCAUUUUUAUCUAAGUUUAAAAGUUACACAUUCUUUGUGUUAAAAAAAAAUAGUAAUUACAUAGUCAAAGCAGCAGCCAAUCAAAACUGAAAUUCAUCAGUGCAAAGAUAGCAGUCAAGUUCUAGAACUACAAAACAGCACAGAAAAAGAAGAAAAAGGAAAAUGAAAAGGAACACGUGGAGGUGAAGGAAAAGGUAAAACAAAAAGAAGAGGAAGAGGAAAAAGAACACUGACAAAAGUAGUUUGGAAGAUGCCAUUUUCCAAUUGAAGUUUUUCACUGGAAGUGUGUGUGAGCUGCAGCUGGUUGUGCUGCCUGCUUUCUACCAAUGUCUCCUUACCAAGCGUAAGGCUACCGAGAGGGCAGGAGAAACUUUGGCGCAGUCUGGCUCACUGAUUUCCCUACUCCCUUGGCCUAUUUUUUUCCCAAUUUUUAAUUUUUUUCUUUCUCUUAGUUCGGCACAUUAACAUUCCUCUAAAAUUUAAUUAUGCUCCCUCAAGAUUCCCAAGAGCCCUCUGCUUGAGCUUAUUUUCUCCAUUUGCUUUAAUUCUAAGUAACGAGCACCUAUACUAUACUUUGCAGGAGUCCAACCCCCUGUAGUUUCCUUUACUCCCUCCAUAUGCUGCAAGCUGUCCCUUUUGGAGAAUUGCCCUGUAGCUUGACUGGGGGCCUAUUCUUUCUCAGAUAAUUUCCCUAUAAGGUUCACUGCUACUGAGAGCAGGACUACUGACAGCAUACAUUUUGAAUCCAGCCAUGAAAAUUGCUUCGUGAUAAUCUUUACCAAAUGCUGCAUUACAUGGUACAACAUUUGCUACUGGGCUGGGGAUUCUUCUCUCCGUUUGUAAAUCUGCUUUUAUGACCAUAUUAUUUUGAACACUUCAUUUCAUGCCUAGUACUGAAAAAGGAAUAAAAUAUCACAGUAAAGCA
rnacentral:lncRNA from 1 species